rnacentral:sRNA from 1 species
CCACGCAAUAAGUAAUCAUCUGCAAAGUUGAGACCGCCGCCUGCUGUCAGACCCAAUACAAUGAAGCACUAUAAAGAAGAUAUAAAUGAUAUAUUGCAAAGUAACAUUUCUAUAAUACAAAAAGUAUUAUAUCUCAUUAAAUUGAUUAGUUCUGCACACUUAAAAUGGUUAUUGGGAUAACAAGCUGCAAAAUGACUUGCCGAUCGAUACGGAACAACAAUUACUUAUAAUAAAUACAGCAGGCAUGCAACACAAUGCAAGCAUAAAAUAAGCAUGUGUAUAUAUCAUAACCAUUUUGAAACGUUACUGCUUCAAUGAGUCGCAAUAUUUUUUCACAAGUCAAAUCAAGUAAGCAUGUAUGUGCAUAGGGAACUCGCUGCAGAACUUUUCCAGCCAAAAGUUGGAGCAGGACCAACCUACAAGAGUUAGAAUGCUGCAAUGCUGUUCAUUAUUUGAUUUUGAGAACGUUGAAUUCCAAAACUGAACUGACAAAUUGAACGCAGAAAAUACAAAGUAUAUGCCUCUCCUUGGAUCCGGAAAGUGUUGUCAUUAUUUAAUUUAAUAAAACAAUUUUUGAAACUCACAA